UGAAGCCCAAUGGGCAAGUUGCUUAACUGACAUCUCAUUUGAUAGAUGAGCAAGGCAGUGCCAGCCCAGCAAGGUCCACGAAGAGGUGCAACAGGUUUUGAACCGAGCAGGGGUCAGUCCAACUCAAUUACGUUUGAUUUAUUUAUGGACUGUCUGCUCUGCUAGCCGCCAGGAACUCUGAAAUGAGCCAGACACACAUGGAGGCUGUCCUCAUCUAACUUAUACCCUGUCUAGAGAGGGAUAUGGACAAACAGGCUACUUCAAUAUGACAAGACCAAAAGCAUUAAUUAUUAGAACCAAGCGUGGAGGUCUUUCCAGAAGCUGGCAAGCUGGCUUUGCCUUCCUUUGUACUUUCCAAGAAAUUACUACCCUGGACUCAACUGAAAAUGAGGAUCAUCUGAUUUCAGCUCAUUUAGAAGGAAUUGGGGAGAAUCUGAAUGAUGGCAACCCACCCUCAACCUGACGGUGUGUGGUGUGUACCACUUUGCUCUGCCCUGUUCUGUGCUCUGAGACUUGGCACCCACUGUGAGUGGCUAGAGUAUUAUCUCCUCCUAGCUGCUCUCGAAUCUACCCUUCUCCUCAAAAAGCCUUUCAUUUCUACUCGUGAGGUCAGACUUUUUUAAAUUGUUCUUAAAUUUAUUUAAGAGAGAAAGUGUGCAUGAUCAGGAGGGAGGGGCAGAGAGAGGGGGAGAAGCAGACUCCCAGCUGAGCACAGAGCCAGACAUAGGGCUCCUUCUCAGGACCCUGGGACCAUGACCUGAGCUCAAGUCUGACAUUUAACUGAAUGAGCCUCUCAGGCUCAUUCUCAAGGUCAGACUUUUUUGAUGUAACAAAGAUAAGACACUGUCUCAUCAUGGCCAAUUUAUGUACUUAUUCUGAAAAUGGAGUCUGGGGAAGGUUCUGCAGGUGUUAGCUGAGCUCUGUGCCAACUCUAUAUUGGACACCAGAGAAAAAUACCCCCAGAGACAUUGGACAUGAGCCAGGUGAGCUUCAGGAGAUGGGGAAGAGGGUAAAUGGGUGCCAGGUUCUACAUGGCAGGAUUCAUUCAGUCAGUAAACAUUUAACAUAUAUCAACAGAGUGUCCACUACAUCCCAAAGCAUACAACAAGGAAAAGACACAGUCCUUCCCCUCUAGGACACCACAGUCCACUGAGAGGGAAAGGCAAUUAAAAGUUCGUUACAAUACAGCAUGCUCAUCACUCCCAUGGGAGAAAGCCAAUGUGAAAUAAAGUAACACAGGGGCAGGAAAUGACUCCAAGUUGUGGGGUUGACAAAGGACUUCUAGAAGGAAGGCAGAGCCAGAAUUAAGAGAUCCAUGGUCAUCCAUAGUGUUUCCCUGGGCUGGAUGGCAGAAGAUGGAGGAGAAAAGGCUAGAAAUCAAUACCUAUAGGAGCCAUGACUUUAUUGGCAUUCCACCAGGAAAGUCCGUCUCUCAGUAUUUGUUUUCUAGUCCCUCCAACUUGCUUGAUCUGCCUUCUCCUAUCAGAUUUGUACACCAAAGAAACAAGCACUACAGAAGAAAGGAAAAAAGAGAGAGAAGAAGAAGAGAAGAGAAGAGAAGAGGAAGAGGAGAGGAGAGGAGAGGA